CUCCAAUCUUUCUGAAACAGUCUUUCAUGUUCAAAAUAGCACAAGAAGAGUGUCCCUUUCCUCAUUAAUGAUGCCUAUGAAGAUUAAGCGGGCUCUUCAGGAACAACACAGUACAAAGGAUUGGUGAAUGGCUCUAUCACAUCUUGGAAAUGCUACAUGCAAGGGUGCUUGUCUCAUUGCAGGAAACUAAAAGGUAGAACAGGCUCACCAGAAUAUUUUUAAUCUCUUUGCUGUUUGGACUCUUUCAAGGGCAGGAGCUAAGAAACGAACAAGCAGAGAUCUCCAGGGUUGUCCUGAGUUAAGCCCUGAAAAGACAUUCAGUGUUGACAUUACUACUUCUCUGUGAUCUUUUUGGAAACGUAGCCUGAACUAAUUUGUGCACAUAUGUUCCCUGCUUUAAUCUGUAAAUAACUCUCAUUUCUUUUUCUUAGUUAAUAAAUCCUUAAACAGUUUAUUACAA